UACGGGGGGAGCAAGCGUUGUUCGGAUUUACUGGGCGUAAAGGGCUCGUAGGCGGCCAACUAAGUCGGACGUGAAAUCCCUCGGCUUAACCGGGGAACUGCGUCCGAUACUGGAUGGCUAGAGUUCGGGAGAGGGAUGCGGAAUUCCAGGUGUAGCGGUGAAAUGCGUAGAUAUCUGGAGGAACACCGGUGGCGAAGGCGGCAUCCUGGACCGACACUGACGCUGAGGAGCGAAAGCCAGGGGAGCAAACGGG
rnacentral:rRNA from 1 species